GUGAAUUUCUUUUUCCUAUAAAUUUGUUAUUACUGAAAAUUGGGAUUAUUUUGUCCACCACCCACAACCAAAAGAAAAGAGGGUUUCUGGUAUUUUUUUUUAACGUUUCAUGUUGGUACACAGAGGAACUUGAUCGGAAAAGAGAGAAAUUUUACAAUCAUGGAAAGAGGGAAAGAAAAUGAAGAAGUGGUCAGAGAGGAAGAGGAAGCAAACAACUCACCGACAUAUCCAGGUUUCUUAUUCCGAUAUUGUAGCAGUUUGAAGAUAUAGUUAUUCUUCGGCAACAUAAGAGAUUUCCAUGGGUUGCGUUGAACAUGAGAUUGUUGAAUAUGUCUUAAAUUGACACUUGAAGCUAGCACAUCUACUCAAUUGAAUUGGAGGUUAUGAAAAUAUGUUUUACAAAGCUUCAACUUCAGCAGAAGGUGGACGCUUCAUUAAAUAGAUCCAAGAAGCCUCCCCAGACAUUCUUAGGGAAUAUUUGGUUAGAUGAAUCAUAAUGUAUCUGUAAUUAAAAUGAUUCAUAUUUUACUCUUUGAUAAUU